AUGGAGCAACCAGGUGGGCGCUGGGGAUGCAGCAAUCAGUGUUGGCGAGGUGCACGGAGUCUGAGCAGAGGGGUAUGGGUGUCUGGGCCUGGAGGAAGUGGGAAAAGGGAGCUGUCCUUAGAGAGGAGUGGGGCCAUCCCACAUAGGCACAGGGGACAGAGAGCAGUAAGUGAGAACAGACAGAUGGUGGCAGAGGCAGCAAUGGAAACCUGCAAGUUCUUCUCUGAUGGCUGCAAUGUUCUUGGUGCUAUGGGAAGGAAGCUGAGGGUGAGAAGGAGGGAGAUGCUGGAAAUUCAUGCAAGAGGGGAUGGUAACGUGGUCAGCUGGGACGGUAACAUGGUCAUCCGGGACAGUCACAUGGUCAGCUGGGACAGUCACAUGGUCAGCUGGGACAGUAACGUGGUCAGCUGGGACAGUAACAUGGUCAGCUGGGACAGUCACAUGGUCAUCUGGGACAGUCACAUGGUCAGCUGGGACAGUAACGUGGUCAGCUGGGACAAUCACAUGGUCAGCUGGGAUGGUAACAUGGUCAGCUGGGACAGUCACAUGGUCAUCUGGGACAGUCACGUGGUCAGCUGGGACAGUAACGUGGUCAGCUGGGACAAUCACAUGGUCAGCUGGGAUGGUAACAUGGUCAGCUGGGACAGUCACAUGGUCAUCUGGGAGACAGUCACAUGGUCAGCUGGGACAGUAACAUGGUCAUCCAGGACAGUCACAUGGUCAUCCGGGACAGUCACAUGGUCAGCUGGGACAGUAACGUGGUCAGCUGGGACAGUAACAUGGUCAUCCAGGACGGUCACAUGGUCAUCCGGGACAGUCACAUGGUCAGCUGGGACAGUAACGUGGUCAUCUGGGACAGUAACCUGGUCAGCUGGGAUGGUAACGUGGUCAACUGGGAGGGUAACAUGGUCAUCCGGGACAGUCACAUGGUCAGCUGGGACAGUCACAUGGUCAGCUGGGAUGGUAACGUGGUCAGCUGGGUCAGUAAUAUGGUCAGCUGGGACAGUAACGUGGUCAGCUGGGACGGUAACAUGGUCAGCUGGGUUAGAGGGAGAGCUGCAGGGGUGA
rnacentral:lncRNA from 1 species